GGAAGGAUCAUUCCUAAUGUAAGCUUUUUUUGCUUAUACCAGUAGUACUGGAUUUAUUGUAUUUUACUAUUUUAUUCUCUUUAUUUUUCUAAAUCUCAUUAAAUUAAAACGAUUAUUGGCAACGGAUACCUCGGUUCCCACAACGAUGAAGAACGCAGCGAAACGCGAUAAUUAGUGCGAAUUGCAGAAUUCAGUGAAUCAUCGAGUCUUCGAACGCAAGUUGCGCUCUUGGGAUAUUCCUGGGAGCAUGCCUCUUUCAGUGUCGGUUCAAAACCACAAGUCAUUUUAUAUGAUUUGGAUCAUGAAUUCCUUGUUUUUCGCAAAGGAUUUUUAAAUUUAGGUUUUAUCUUUUAUAUUUUCAUAAUAAUUUUUUUGCUAAACACAUAAAAAAUACUAGAAAUAUAAAAGAACUACACCCAAAAAUAUCAAAAAAGACCUGAGAGAGGUAAGAUUACCCGCCGAACUUAAGCAUAUCACUAAGCGGAGGAAAAGAAACUAAAUAGGAUUCCCCUAGUAACGGCGAGUGAAAAGGGAAGAGCCCAACCCGAGAAUCCAGUUCUUUUAGAAUUGGAAUUGUGGGUUAUGGAGACGCCAGUCAGUGUUAUGGCCCCGGUCUAAGUGUGUUGGAAUGCACUGGCAGAGAGGGUGAGACCCCCGUUCUGGGCUGGGAGACUUGCACGUACGACUCGUUUUCUUAGAGUAGGUUUGCUUGAGAGUGCAGACUGAAGUGGGAGGUAAAUUCCUUCCAAGGCUAAAUAUAUGUGGGAGACCGAUAGCGCACAAGUACCGUGAGGGAAAGGUGAAAAGGACUUUGAAAAGAGAGUCAAAAGUACUUGAAAUUGUCAGUAUAUCAAGCGAUAAAGAUUAGUUGCUUGGCGAUGGGCCAUAUUUUUUGUAUCUUUAAGAUACAAGGUUUGUGAGCCCUUGCCCAGUCAGAAUAGAUUACACGAGUGUGGGAAAGGAAAAAGGUCUGGGUAGCUCUGCUUUUCGGAGUAGUGUUGAUGAGAUUCUUUUAUUUCUACCAUGCUAUGGAUUUUUAAAUUCUGACGAAAUGGUCUUUAUCGACCCGUCUUGAAACACGGACCAAGGAGUCUAACGUAUGGGCGAGUCAAUGGGUGAGUAAAACCCUAUCGGCGUAAUGAAAGUGAUUUUUGGUGUUCAAUUUUUGUUAAAAUUUCAACAUCGCCCGGCACUUCAGUUAUGUUGUGUACGAGGUAGAGCCUAUCCGUUAGGACCCGAAAGAUGGUGAACUAUGCCUGAGCAGGGUGAAGCCAGGGGAAACUCUGGUGGAAGCUCGAAGCGAUACUGACGUGCAAAUCGUUCGUCGGACUUGGGUAUAGGGGCGAAAGACUAAUCGAACCAUCUAGUAGCUGGUUCCCUC
rnacentral:misc_RNA from 1 species